GUAUAAAUAAGUGGAGGAAAAGAAAAUAACUAUGAUUCCCGGAGUAACUGCGAGUGAAAGGGGAAAAGCGCACGACCGAAACCCGACAGCUUGCUGUGGGUGGUGUGGUCUAUGGGUCUACUUAAUAUUAAUAUAAUCAAGGUCAAAGUUCGUUGGAAAACGAUGCCAUAGAAGGUGAUAGCCCUGUAUGGCUUUGGUUAUGUUAGUCCUAGGUGGAUCUACGAGUAGGGUUGUUUGAAAGUACAGCCUGAAUACGCGGGGUAAGUACCCCGUAACGCUAAAUAUAGUUAUGAGACCGAUAGCGCACAAGUA
rnacentral:rRNA from 1 species